GUUCGUAGCUUAAAUGGAGCAACCACCAUACACUGAAGAUGACAUCACCACCACCACCACCACUUCUUCUCCACAGGCAAGAAUCAACCAGAAUUCCGAUGCUCCUCUCGGCGGCACACGGCAUCCAGUUUAUCGCGGCGUCAGGAAACGGAGGUGGGGGAAAUGGGUGUCUGAAAUUAGAGAACCGCGAAAGAAAUCACGUAUAUGGCUAGGUUCAUUUCCUGUGCCAGAAAUGGCUGCCAAGGCAUAUGACGUUGCCGCCUAUUGUCUUAAAGGUUGUAAAGCGCAGCUUAAUUUUCCUGACGAGGUAGAGGACUUGCCCAGGCCGUCGUCGUGUACGGCUAGGGAUAUUCAAGCAGCAGCAGCUAAAGCAGCACAUUCGAUGAUUAAUGCAGAAGAAAAGAGCAGCUGCAGCACAACAAAUAGCGAUGGCGACCUGAAAACUGAUGAUUUCUGGGGUGAAAUUGAAUUACCGGAAUUAAUGAGUAGUGGAUUCAAUUGGAGUUCGUGUGUAUGGACAACUUUAGCAGGCGAUUCCACGUGGCAAGAUGAAGAGGCUCCACAGAUGUUCAUGGCAUGUCUGUAACGUGGCAGUAUUGAAGUUUUGUUAGCGUGCAUGUCUGGUACUAGGCUUGGAAAUCUAUGUCCCUCCCUCUCUCUCUCUCUCUAGAUCAUAUAUGCUGGUUCUGUUAAUCCUAUAUGUAUAUCUUGCAAUAUUUAAUUAAUAUUAAUUAUAGUAUAUGAAGUUUUGAAAUGCAUCCAUUUUGGCCCUGCAAGCUAACACUACCAGUUUAUCAGUUUGAGGUUAUUCUUACAUAUUUGCAGUUUUCUUCCCCAGAGUUCACCUAGAUGCGAU
rnacentral:misc_RNA from 1 species